GACGAACGCUGGCGGCGUGCUUAACACAUGCAAGUCGAACGGAAAGGCCCUGCUUUUGUGGGGUGCUCGAGUGGCGAACGGGUGAGUAACACGUGAGUAACCUGCCCUUGACUUUGGGAUAACUUCAGGAAACUGGGGCUAAUACCGGAUAGGAGCUCCUGCUGCAUGGUGGGGGUUGGAAAGUUUCGGCGGUUGGGGAUGGACUCGCGGCUUAUCAGCUUGUUGGUGGGGUAGUGGCUUACCAAGGCUUUGACGGGUAGCCGGCCUGAGAGGGUGACCGGCCACAUUGGGACUGAGAUACGGCCCAGACUCCUACGGGAGGCAGCAGUGGGGAAUAUUGCACAAUGGGCGGAAGCCUGAUGCAGCAACGCCGCGUGCGGGAUGCCGGGCUUCGGGUUGUAAACCGCUUUCGCCUGUGACGAAGCGUGAGUGACGGUAAUGGGUAAAGAAGCACCGGCUAACUACGUG
rnacentral:rRNA from 1 species